AUAAAGUCACCAGAUGAGCCGCAGUAGUGGUCCUAGGCAGGUCUAAGAAAAACGGUGGUUGCUGCAAACCGUUCCGCCUUUGAUCACGAAUUACACCUCAAUGAAAGCCUGGUUAACGGGUCAUGCCGAUAUCCAUUAGAGUGAUGCAAAGCAUAAUGUGGGUGGUACCGCGGUGAAAAUCGUCCCUGAU
rnacentral:misc_RNA from 1 species